rnacentral:tRNA from 1 species
GCCCGAAUAGUUCAGCGGUAGAACACUUGAUUUACAUUCAAGUUGUCGGGGGUUCGAUCCCCUCUUCGGGCA